CUUGUAGCGGGACCAACGUAUCACAGCGAAGGCUUGGCGACUGUAGCAUAACACGGAUAGUGUUUGCUACUUUCACCAAGAUCAGCGCUGUCUUGUCAAAGCAACCCUGCUAUUU
rnacentral:precursor_RNA from 10 species